GAUGAACGCUGGCGGCGUGCCUAAUACAUGCAAGUCGAGCGAACGGACGAGAAGCUUGCUUCUCUGAUGUUAGCGGCGGACGGGUGAGUAACACGUGGAUAACCUACCUAUAAGACUGGGAUAACUUCGGGAAACCGGAGCUAAUACCGGAUAAUAUUUUGAACCGCAUGGUUCAAAAGUAAAAGACGGUCUUGCUGUCACUUAUAGAUGGAUCCGCGCUGCAUUAGCUAGUUGGUAAGGUAACGGCUUACCAAGGCAACGAUGCAUAGCCGACCUGAGAGGGUGAUCGGCCACACUGGAACUGAGACACGGUCCAGACUCCUACGGGAGGCAGCAGUAGGGAAUCUUCCGCAAUGGGCGUAAGCCUGACGGAGCAACGCCGCGUGAGUGAUGAAGGUCUUCGGAUCGUAAAACUCUGUUAUUAGGGAAGAAUAUAUGUGUAAGUAACUGUGCACAUCUUGACGGUACCUAAUCAGAAAGCCACGGCUAACUACGUGCCAGCAGCCGCGGUAAUACGUAGGUGGCAAGCGUUAUCCGGAAUUAUUGGGCGUAAAGCGCGCGUAGGCGGUUUUUUAAGUCUGAUGUGAAAGCCCACGGCUCAACCGUGGAGGGUCAUUGGAAACUGGAAAACUUGAGUGCAGAAGAGGAAAGUGGAAUUCCAUGUGUAGCGGUGAAAUGCGCAGAGAUAUGGAGGAACACCAGUGGCGAAGGCGACUUUCUGGUCUGUAACUGACGCUGAUGUGCGAAAGCGUGGGGAUCAAACAGGAUUAGAUACCCUGGUAGUCCACGCCGUAAACGAUGAGUGCUAAGUGUUAGGGGGUUUCCGCCCCUUAGUGCUGCAGCUAACGCAUUAAGCACUCCGCCUGGGGAGUACGACCGCAAGGUUGAAACUCAAAGGAAUUGACGGGGACCCGCACAAGCGGUGGAGCAUGUGGUUUAAUUCGAAGCAACGCGAAGAACCUUACCAAAUCUUGACAUCCUUUGACAACUCUAGAGAUAGAGCCUUCCCCUUCGGGGGACAAAGUGACAGGUGGUGCAUGGUUGUCGUCAGCUCGUGUCGUGAGAUGUUGGGUUAAGUCCCGCAACGAGCGCAACCCUUAAGCUUAGUUGCCAUCAUUAAGUUGGGCACUCUAAGUUGACUGCCGGUGACAAACCGGAGGAAGGUGGGGAUGACGUCAAAUCAUCAUGCCCCUUAUGAUUUGGGCUACACACGUGCUACAAUGGACAAUACAAAGGGCAGCGAAACCGCGAGGUCAAGCAAAUCCCAUAAAGUUGUUCUCAGUUCGGAUUGUAGUCUGCAACUCGACUACAUGAAGCUGGAAUCGCUAGUAAUCGUAGAUCAGCAUGCUACGGUGAAUACGUUCCCGGGUCU
rnacentral:rRNA from 1 species